UAUCUAUGAUGUGGACAUUGAACUAAAAACAAUUUAAAACGUUCCCAAGCCUCAUGGAGCAACUCACCUUCUAUUUGAGUAUAGGUAGCAAUCUUACCAUGUAGUUU